UGCAUAUACAGACAUUGCAAUGCAACAGUGUGCUUCAGCAGCUCUAAUUUGAUUUACAGUCUUAGUUUUCAAUAUAAAUCCUAAGAUUCAUUGUUUUAAUAGGUGAGAGCAAUCCAAGAAGUACAUCAGAAACAGAAAAAAAUGUGAGGAUGACCAGAUGCAAGCUGAAUCUCUUCUUGUUGGUGCUACAGCAGCCUUGGGCACGCUUAAUAAGAUCCUGGGUGGCAAUCUGUGUAAACUCACGGAUUCAUUAUUUGAGAAAGCAGUUGCAUAGAAAGUCUGAUGUCAAGAUGAUGUCAGCCAACAAACCAAAACUAUUGAGCUGGCUGAAGUGUUCAUCAAGGGCCUCGAGGUAAGAAGAUUGCCUGAAUGUUCUAGAUAGUAUGAGUUUUGAAAUAUCUGAAGUGUUUUGUUAAACAUUAUGUUGAAUUUUGAGGGUAGUGUGUGUGGAUAAAAAUCUGGGGUGACAGGCAACAAGAUGACCCUCAUUAGAAAUAAUUUAAAUGGAAAGAAACAUAAAAAAAAAAAAAAAAAGAAUAAAUAAAAAUCAAAUUCUGAAGAGUAAAAUGUG
rnacentral:lncRNA from 1 species